GAAGCACCAGAAAGGAGAUCAGCUAGAGCACUCAUCGCUCGAAUUUGCAUCUCAAGAGCUGCUAUGUAAUCAGUAGCUUCAUCUAGAAUCACCGGCAGCGGUUGUUUCCGGCAACCAGGAACAAGCCGUCCUAAAACUCUAGCCUUUUUCUGAAAAGCCGGCAAAUUCUUUGUUUUCAGCUUCAAAAUCCCCAAUCUCGGCUUCCUGGGUAACCGGCUGGUAGACGAAACCGCCAUUUUCUGCCGCUUGGCGUGUUUCUUCAUGAACUUGAGCUUUAGCCGAUUCGUAAGUAUAGCUCGGCUCCAUCUGGAUCGUCCUUUGGCAGUAACGGCAAGGACUCUGUCAGCAACUUCACGUACGGCUCGACCGCCUUUUGGCGCCGGCACCGAUGAAGUCGUCGUCGUCGCCGCCGCCGCUGGUGAACUGAUCCGCACUUCACGGAGUGCUUUGAGUAGCUUUGAAGAGUAAACUUGUUGUUGAGCUUGAGUUUUCCAUUCAGUAGUAUUAGUCGGAGUUUCACUAUUGUUAUUGUUAUUGUUACUACUGUUCUGAGUUUGAUUUCUCAAACUUUUCUUACUCUUUUUUCUCCUUGAUAUUACUCUGUCAGAAGACGUUACAGGAUUCGAAAUCACCGUUGAAGACAUCUCUACGACCAUUGGUUCCAUCAGAUUCAGUUAAAAUCGAAUCAAAUUUAGAACCGAAUCGAUUGAAUCACUAUUCAAUUUGAGGUCUGAAGAAGAAAACCUGAUGAUGAUGAUGUGAGGAUUACAAUUAUUUCUUGAGAUUGAUG
rnacentral:misc_RNA from 1 species